rnacentral:rRNA from 1 species
CUCCGUGCCAGCAGCCGCGGUAAUACGGAGGAUGCGAGCGUUAUCCGGGAUUCAUUGGGUUUAAAGGGUGCGUAGGCGGACUAUUAAGUCAGUGGUGAAAUCCUGCAGCUUAACUGCAGAACUGCCAUUGAUACUGAUAGCCUUGAGUUUGGUUAAGGUAGGCGGAAUGUGUAAUGUAGCGGUGAAAUGCUUAGAUAUUACACAGAACACCAAUUGCGUAGGCAGCUUACUGAGCCGACACUGACGCUGAGGCACGAAAGCGUGGGGAUCGAACAGGAUUAGAUACCCUGGUAGUCCACGCCGUAAACGAUGAUUACUCGCUGUUGGCGAUACACUGUCAGCGGCUAAGCAAAAGCAAUAAGUAAUCCACCUGGGGAGUACGGCCGCAAGGUUGAAACUCAAAGGAAUUGACGGGGGCCCGCACAAGCGGAGGAACAUGUGGUUUAAUUCGAUGAUACGCGAGGAACCUUACCUGGGCUUAAAUGUAGAGUGCAUUUUCUAGAGAUAGGAAUUCCCUUCGGGGCUUUCUGCAAGGUGCUGCAUGGUUGUCGUCAGCUCGUGCCGUGAGGUGUCGGGUUAAGUCCCAUAACGAGCGCAACCCUUAUCGUUAGUUGCCAUCUGGUAAAGCAGGGGACUCUAGCGAAACUGCCACCGUAAGGUGAGAGGAAGGUGGGGAUGACGUCAAAUCAGCACGGCCCUUAUGUCCAGGGCUACACACGUGUUACAAUGGCCGGUACAGAGGGCAGCUACCUGGUGACAGGAUGCUAAUCUCGAAAACCGGUCUCAGUUCGGAUCGAAGUCUGCAACUCGACUUCGUGAAGCUGGAUUCGCUAGUAAUCGCGCAUCAGCCAUGGCGCGGUGAAUACGUUCCCGGGCCUUGUACACACCGCCCGU